GUUUGAUCCUGGCUCAGGAUUAACGCUGGCGGCAUGCCUAAUACAUGCAAGUCGAACGAAAAAUAUAUAGAUGCUUGCAUUUAGAUAUUUUUAGUGGCGAACGGGUGAGUAAUAUAUAGAUAACCUACCUUUAAGUUGGGGAUAACAGAGGGAAACUUUUGCUAAUACCGAAUAAAAUAAUUAGACGCAUGUUUAAUUAUUAAAAGGGGCUUCAAAGCCCCGCUCUAAGAGGGGUCUAUAUCGCAUUAGCUAGUUGGUAAGAUAACAGCCUACCAAGGCUAUGAUGCGUAGCUGUACUGAGAGGUAGAACAGCCACAUUGGGACUGAGAUACGGCCCAAACUCCUACGGGAGGCAGCAGUAGGGAAUUUUCGGCAAUGGGGGGAACCCUGACCGAGCAAUGCCGCGUGAUUGAAGAAGAUCUUCGGAUCGUAAAGAUCUGUUAUUAGGGAAGAAUGGAAUUGAUAGGAAAUGAUCAAUUUAUGACGGUGCCUAAUGAGGAAGCCCCGGCUAACUAUGUGCCAGCAGCCGCGGUAAUACAUAGGGGGCGAGCGUUAUCCGGAAUUAUUGGGCGUAAAGGGUACGUAGGCGGGCCUGCAAGUCUGAUUUGAAAGCACACGGCUUAACCGUGUGAGGUAAUUAGAAACUACAGGUCUAGAGAGUGGUAGAGGUAAAUGGAAUUCCAAGUGGAGCGGUGAAAUGCGUAGAGAUUUGGAGGAACACCAGUGGCGAAGGCGGUUUACUGGGCCACAUCUGACGCUGAUGUACGAAAGCGUGGGGAGCAAACAGGAUUAGAUACCCUGGUAGUCCACGCCGUAAACGAUGAGUGCUAAGUAUCGGUAGAUUCGGUGCUUAAGCUAACGCAGUAAGCACUCCGCCUGGGGAGUACGGUCGCAAGACUGAAACUCAAAGGAAUUGACGGGGGCCCGCACAAGCGGAGGAACAUGUGGUUUAAUUCGAUGAUACGCGAGGAACCUUACCCGGGUUUGAAUUGCUGAUGGCGGUAUUUGGAGACAGAUACUUCCCUUCGGGGCGUCAGUGAAGGUGCUGCAUGGUUGUCGUCAGCUCGUGCCGUGAGGUGUCGGCUUAAGUGCCAUAACGAGCGCAACCCUUGCCGUUAGUUGCCAUCGGGUCAUGCCGGGCACUCUAUUGGGACUGCCAUCGUAAGAUGUGAGGAAGGUGGGGAUGACGUCAAAUCAGCACGGCCCUUAUGUCCAGGGCUACACACGUGCUACAAUGGCCGGUACAGAGGGCAGCCACCUGGUGACAGGGAGCAAAUCUCCAAAGCCGGUCUCAGUUCGGAUCGAAGUCUGCAACUCGACUUCGUGAAGUUGGAUUCGCUAGUAAUCGUAUAUCAGCAACGAUACGGUGAAUACGUUCCCGGGCCUUGUACACACCGCCCGUCA
rnacentral:rRNA from 1 species